AUGCAUGAGCCAUUUCACUGGAGCCCUGUUGGAUAAAUAUGGAAAAAAUGUGGGAGCUAUGUCAUGAACCACAAUGGUUUUGCGUUCUAUGUAAUUUGAAGACAAGAUUCCUUUGCUGUGUGUCACUUACCUCCUAUAUUACCGCUGUCUCCCAACAUUUCAUAACCAUCAAUUCUUUGCCAGUGCCCACAUGCAAAGAUGGGUUUGUAUUAAAAAAUAAAUGAGAACAGCACAUUCUGAUGUGGUGUAGUAUAUCAGCAUUUUCCACCCGAAGCCUCAUUGCCUGCCCUUCCCCUUUUAGGAAACAAAGGAUACAAGGCAGAGCUACUUAUCCCGUUACGGCUCCCAGUGAGAAGGGUGACGGGAUGUCAGAAAUAAAAGAAAACCCUUUUUCCUUUGAAAUAUCUAAAUGCCCAAAGAUGGGAACAGCCACAGCAGGGAGAAGACUGUGCUAUGCAGUUUGAUCUGAUUCUGUGGACCAGUUGGAAAGCUCAAUUAUUUUCAACUGCAAGAAUUAAAAAAAAAAAGAAAAGACUUAUACAGCGGCUUCAACACAUAGAGAUUUAUUUUUCUCACAUAAGGAGAAGACCGGAAGUGGGCAAUCUCAGCCAAAUCAUCCAGGGCUCAGGUUCUCCUUUCUGCUCCACCAGCCUUAUCAUGUUGGAUUUCUUCCUUGCGCCUGUCGCCUCAUGGUGGCAAAGUGGCUGCAGCACCUCUGGGACUCAUUUUUAAGGGUGUUUUCUUAAUCACAUCACCUAAGUUCCGGGACCACAUCUUACACUUUGGGUCACCCCUCCUGCCCCAGCGCAGGGCUGCACACAGACUAGAUCCUCAAUAAACUCUUGUUGGAUCAUGAGGAAGAUAAAUACCCAGAAGUUGGAUUACUGGAUCAUCUGGUAAUUCUCAAGUUUCUAGCUGGUGCCAGUGGACCCAAGGGAGGACCUACUUGGAGGAGUACGAGCUGGAGUGCCAAUGCGGUUCCAGAAAGGGGCAGGAAUCUCUGGUUACCUGCCAAUGCUAAUACAUGUCAGAACAAUAGUCUGGCUGGAUCCUGGAAAAUUGUGGUGCAACGCCCAUGUCAUUAUCAUCCUUAUAAUUUUCCACUGGCUUUUGGAGCAACUUUGUAAUUUGGAUUGAAUUUCAUUUUUGAUGUACCAACUCAGUAGCAUAACAGUAAUUUUUAGUUCUCAAGUUUUUCAUUCAUUUCAUCAUUCAUUUGUUCAUUCUACAAAUAUUUAUUGAGAGCCAGGCAGUGGUGGCCAAUACCUCCAUCUUCCCUGUCCUCCAAAGCCAGGGGAGCAGAUCUAUUUUAACGAGACUAGAGUGUAUGUCCCACAAAGUCAGACUUUGAUUAUUUUCUUCACUGCUGUAUUCCUAGUGCCUGCAACAGUGCCUGGCAGGUAAUAGAUGCUCAAUAAGCAUGUGUUCGAUGCAGAAGCAUAUUUCACUGUGAAGCCAAAGGAGUUUAAGCUUAAGCCCCUCACUUGCACUGUCCCCUUCCAAGGCCCUCUGGGGGGUCCUGUUAUGUGCUUUCAUGCUUUUAUAUUUUUAUGAACAUUUCAAAAGUAAGACAUUUUAACUAGCUAAGACCUCUGUCUCUACUCUAAUUUGCCUCCAUCACCUCCCCUCCUGUCAGGUGAAAAUGGAGUGGCCAUGGGCAUUUGGGGAUCCAGCGAAGGAGAAGCUGUGUUGGGAACACAUUUAGGAUGGGAUGUGGGGGACAUCCACAUAGUUAUGUGCUACACUGUCAUUUAAGUCUAUAGUUACUACUAGCUGUCCCAGUAUAGGAAUGACUUCCAGAAAUACUCCUACUGCCCACUUUAAAGACUUGCCUGGCAUGUCACAAAGGAGCAGGGUCAGAUGUGGUGUCACAAAAAUAAGCAUGUCCCAGGCUCCUGGCACUGCAAGUUUGUGGGUGGUAGAGAAGGAAGAGCUUUCUUAAAGAAGGCCUCCAAAAUUGCUUGAGUUUCAGGCCCCUCAAAAUGCAAAUCUGCCCUUGGCUGGAUAAAUGGGUGAAUCUAAGUCCUCUUGUGUUGAGAAAUAAUCAGCUCCUACUUUACUUUUCUCUAGCACUUACAGACCAUAGAGUCUAGUUCAAAGCUGAGCUUUGGUUCUAGGGAAUACACCAAACCAUUCUAGUAAAUGGCUCGUCGUCUAAAUGAUGCUUGUGUGAGACAGCUCUCUGAAGGGCAGCCAGCUUCCAGUCAUGUCUUCAGAGCUGAUAUAGCUAUCAAAUUCUAAUUCCCUGUAUAUAAUAGCCAAAUAAAUAUUGUCACUGCCAAGUUCUUUUUACCAAAUGCUUUACAAGCACAAUCAUUACACCUUAGGUAAUGGCUAUAUUCGUAGAUCUCUGGUGGUUUU